UACGGGGGGGGCAAGCGUUGUUCGGAAUUACUGGGCGUAAAGGGCUCGUAGGUGGCCAACUAAGUCAGACGUGAAAUCCCUCGGCUUAACCGGGGAACUGCGUCUGAUACUGGAUGGCUUGAGUUUGGGAGAGGGACGCGGAAUUCCAGGUGUAGCGGUGAAAUGCGUAGAUAUCUGGAGGAACACCGGUGGCGAAGGCGGCGUCCUGGGCAAACGCUGACACUGAUGAGCGAAAGCCAGGGGAGCAAACGGG
rnacentral:rRNA from 1 species